rnacentral:antisense_RNA from 1 species
CUUCACGGCGCCCAGCCACAGCGGCUGGUCCUUGGGACGGUUCUGGCCGUACGUGGCCAGCACUGCCUGCGCCUC